rnacentral:rRNA from 1 species
GACGAACGCUGGCGGCGUGCCUAAUACAUGCAAGUAGAACGCUGAAGGAGGAGCUUGCUUCUCUGGAUGAGUUGCGAACGGGUGAGUAACGCGUAGGUAACCUGCCUGGUAGCGGGGGAUAACUAUUGGAAACGAUAGCUAAUACCGCAUAAGAGUAGAUGUUGCAUGACAUUUGCUUAAAAGGUGCAAUUGCAUCACUACCAGAUGGACCUGCGUUGUAUUAGCUAGUUGGUGAGGUAACGGCUCACCAAGGCAACGAUACAUAGCCGACCUGAGAGGGUGAUCGGCCACACUGGGACUGAGACACGGCCCAGACUCCUACGGGAGGCAGCAGUAGGGAAUCUUCGGCAAUGGACGGAAGUCUGACCGAGCAACGCCGCGUGAGUGAAGAAGGUUUUCGGAUCGUAAAGCUCUGUUGUAAGAGAAGAACGAGUGUGAGAGGGAAAGUUCACAC